UUUUAGACGCUGGCGGCGGCCUAACACAUGCAAGUNCGAGCGGAUGAANGGAGCUUGCUCCUGGNAUUCAGCGGCGGACGGGUGAGUAAUGCCUANGAAUCUGCCUGGUAGUGGGGGACAACGUUUCGAAAGGAACGCUAAUACCGCAUACGUCCUACGGGAGAAAGCAGGGGACCUUCGGGCCUUGCGCUAUCAGAUGAGCCUAGGUCGGAUUAGCUAGUUGGUGAGGUAAUGGCUCACCAAGGCGACGAUCCGUAACUGGUCUGAGAGGAUGAUCAGUCACACUGGAACUGAGACACGGUCCAGACUCCUACGGGAGGCAGCAGUGGGGAAUAUUGGACAAUGGGCGAAAGCCUGAUCCAGCCAUGCCGCGUGUGUGAAGAAGGUCUUCGGAUUGUAAAGCACUUUAAGUUGGGAGGAAGGGUUGUAGAUUAAUACUCUGCAAUUUUGACGUUACCGACAGAAUAAGCACCGGCUAACUCUGUGCCAGCAGCCGCGGUAAUACAGAGGGUGCAAGCGUUAAUCGGAAUUACUGGGCGUAAAGCGCGCGUAGGUGGUUUGUUAAGUUGGAUGUGAAAUCCCCGGGCUCAACCUGGGAACUGCAUCCAAAACUGGCAAGCUAGAGUAUGGUAGAGGGUGGUGGAAUUUCCUGUGUAGCGGUGAAAUGCGUAGAUAUAGGAAGGAACACCAGUGGCGAAGGCGACCACCUGGACUGAUACUGACACUGAGGUGCNAAAGCGUGGGGAGCAAACAGGAUUAGAUACCCUGGUAGUCACNCCNUAANCNAUGUCACUAGCCNUUGGGAGCCUUGACUUUANUGCCCACUACCAUUAAUUUACCCCUGGGNNUNCGCCNAGUUAAACUAAUNAUU
rnacentral:rRNA from 2 species